rnacentral:rRNA from 1 species
CUAGCGACUUCAGAGUUUGAUCCUGGCUCAGGAUGAACGCUGGCGGCGUGCUUAACACAUGCAAGUCGAACGGAAGAUUUAUGUGGAAGUUUUCGGAUGGAAACAUAAAACUUUAGUGGCGGACGGGUGAGUAACGCGUGGGUAACCUGCCGUAUACAGGGGGAUAACACUUAGAAAUAGGUGCUAAUACCGCAUAAGCGCACAGCUUCGCAUGAAGCAGUGCGAAAAGCCGAGACGGUAUACGAUGGACCCGCGUCUGAUUAGCUAGUUGGUGAGGUAACGGCCCACCAAGGCGACGAUCAGUAGCCGGCCUGAGAGGGUGAACGGCCACAUUGGGACUGAGACACGGCCCAA